rnacentral:rRNA from 1 species
UACGGAGGGGGCUAGCGUUGUUCGGAAUUACUGGGCGUAAAGCGCGCGUAGGCGGCUUUGUAAGUUAGAGGUGAAAGCCCGAAGCUCAACUUCGGAAUUGCCUUUAAGACUGCAUCGCUAGAAUUGUGGAGAGGUAAGUGGAAUUCCGAGUGUAGAGGUGAAAUUCGUAGAUAUUCGGAAGAACACCAGUGGCGAAGGCGACUUACUGGACACAUAUUGACGCUGAGGGGCGAAAGCGUGGGGAGCAAACAGG